UACGUAGGGUGCGAGCGUUGUCCGGAAUUACUGGGCGUAAAGAGCUCGUAGGUGGUUUGUCGCGUUGUUCGUGAAAACCUGAGGCUUAACCUUGGGCGUGCGGGCGAUACGGGCAGACUGGAGUACUGCAGGGGAGACUGGAAUUCCUGGUGUAGCGGUGGAAUGCGCAGAUAUCAGGAGGAACACCGGUGGCGAAGGCGGGUCUCUGGGCCGUAACUGACGCUGAGGAGCGAAAGCGUGGGUAGCGAACAGG
rnacentral:rRNA from 1 species